UGAACGCUGGCGGCAUGCCUUACACAUGCAAGUCGAACGGUAACAGGUCUUCGGAUGCUGACGAGUGGCGCACGGGUGAGUAAUACAUCGGCACGUGCCCGAUCGUGGGGGAUAACGAAGCGAAAGCUUUGCUAAUACCGCAUACGAUCUACGGAUGAAAGCGGGGGAUCUUCGGACCUCGCGCGGACGGAGCGGCCGAUGGCAGAUUAGGUAGUUGGUGGGAUAAAAGCUUACCAAGCCGACGAUCUGUAGCUGGUCUGAGAGGAUGAUCAGCCACACUGGGACUGAGACACGGCCCAGACUCCUACGGGAGGCAGCAGUGGGGAAUUUUGGACAAUGGGCGCAAGCCUGAUCCAGCCAUGCCGCGUGCAGGAUGAAGGCCUUCGGGUUGUAAACUGCUUUUGUACGGAACGAAAAGGUGCCUUCUAAUAAAGGGCGCUCAUGACGGUACCGUAAGAAUAAGCACCGGCUAACUACGUG
rnacentral:rRNA from 1 species